UACAGAGGGGGCAAGCGUUGUUCGGAAUUACUGGGCGUAAAGGGCGCGUAGGCGGCCUGUGCAAGUCAGUUGUGAAAUCUCCGAGCUUAACUCGGAACGGUCAACUGAUACUGCUCGGCUAGAGUGCGGAAGGGGCAACUGGAAUUCUUGGUGUAGCGGUGGAAUGCGUAGAUAUCAAGAGGAACACCGUGGCGGAAGGCGGG
rnacentral:rRNA from 1 species